GAGAUCAGAGCAUGGCCAUGGAAUAACAACAGCUACAAAUAUAUCUCCAUAUGCUGAGGCAGUUACCUACGAGAUCGUGUUCCCUGGAUAGUUGUGUUUGUAAAUAUAGAUGUAUACACAACACAGCUCAUUUUGGACACCAGUGUUGGACAAUCCUCCAAGAAGAGCUUUGCAUGUGAGUUAGUGUGCAAGAGCAAGGUUUGGCUGGAUGGAGAUGGCAGGAUGGGACAGAGAGGAGCACAGUCACGGCAAUUCAUCAUCCCUCCAGCCAAGAAAUCUGUUAAGACAGUCUCACAAAGAUCUGCAUAUGCUCAGAGCAAUGAUUCAUGUGCUCCUGCAGCUAUGCCCUGGGAGCAUCACAGAAAUCUGAGGGAAUGGACCUGCC